UAAAAUCAUGCUAAUCUACAGAACUGACACACAGAGAAAAUGAUGAAUUUCAAAGAAGGAAAAGGGCCCGAAGCAAAGGUUUGGGCACCCUGCAUGGUCAGUACUUAGUAACACCUCCUUUGGAGGAAAGCAAGAAGGACG